rnacentral:rRNA from 1 species
UACGUAGGAGGCGAGCGUUGUCCGGAAUUACUGGGCGUAAAGGGUGCGUAGGCGGUUGGGUAAGUCUGACGUGAAAUCUCCGGGCCUAACCCGGAAACUGCGUUGGAUACUAUCCGGCUAGAGGAAUGGAGGGGAGACUGGAAUACUUGGUGUAGCAGUGAAAUGCGUAGAUAUCAAGUGGAACACCAGUGGCGAAGGCGAGUCUCUGGACAUUUCCUGACGCUGAGGCACGAAAGCCAGGGGAGCAAACGGG